rnacentral:rRNA from 1 species
UGGGGAAUAUUGGACAAUGGGCGCAAGCCUGAUCCAGCAAUGCCGCGUGUGUGAAGAAGGCCUUCGGGUUGUAAAGCACUUUUAUCAGGAGCGAAACGCUGUCGGCUAAUACCCGGCGGAACUGACGGUACCUGAGGAAUAAGCACCGGCUAACUUCGUGCCAGCAGCCGCGGUAAUACGAAGGGUGCAAGCGUUAAUCGGAAUUACUGGGCGUAAAGCGUGCGUAGGCGGUUUCUUAAGUCUGCUGUGAAAUCCCCGGGCUCAACCUGGGAAUGGCAGUGGAUACUGGGAGGCUAGAGUGUGUCAGAGGGUGGUGGAACUCCCGGUGUAGCGGUGAAAUGCGUAGAGAUCGGGAGGAACAUCAGUGGCGAAGGCGGCCACCUGGGACAACACUGACGCUGAGGCACGAAAGCGUGGGGGAGCAAACGGAUUAGAUACCCUGGUAGUCCACGCCCCUAAAAGCGAUGCGAACUGGAUGUUGGUCUCAACUCGGAGAUCAGUGUCGAAGCUUAACGCGUUAAGUUCGCCGCCUGGGGAGUACGGUCGCAAGGCUGAAACUCAAAUGAA